rnacentral:rRNA from 1 species
AAAGCGUGCGUAGGCGGUUUUGUAAGACUGUCGUGAAAUCCCCGGGCUCAACCUGGGAAUGGCGAUGGUGACUGCAAGGCUAGAGUUUGGCAGAGGGGGGUAGAAUUCCACGUGUAGCAGUGAAAUGCGUAGAUAUGUGGAGGAACACCGAUGGCGAAGGCAGCCCCCUGGGUCAAAACUGACGCUCAUGCACGAAAGCGUGGGGAGCAAACAGGAUUAGAUACCCGGGU